rnacentral:misc_RNA from 1 species
GCAAACUUGGUCAUUUAGAGGAAGUAAAAGUCGUAACAAGGUUUCCGUAGGUGAACCUGCGGAAGGAUCAUUAAUGAAUAAACUUGGUUGAGUUGUUGCUGGCUCUUCUGGAGCAUGUGCACACUCACCAACAGUUUUUCUAAACCCCUGUGCACUUUUUGUAGGCUAGAUUGUUUGACGUCCAUGAGACUCGUUGAGUUUCUAAACGUCUGCUCUCAAGUCUAUGUUUUACAUUAUACCCCGAAUGCAUGUAACAGAAUGUAUUUGAUAGGCUGUCAAAGGCCUUAAAAUUAUAAUACAACUUUCAACAACGGAUCUCUUGGCUCUCGCAUCGAUGAAGAACGCAGC